CCUACGGGUGGCAGCAGUGAGGAAUAUUGGUCAAUGGACGAGAGUCUGAACCAGCCAAGUAGCGUGAAGGAUGACUGCCCUAUGGGUUGUAAACUUCUUUUAUAUGGGAAUAAAAUGUUCCACGUGUGGGAUUUUGUAUGUACCAUAUGAAUAAGGAUCGGCUAACUCCGUGCCAGCAGCCGCGGGAAUACGGAGGCUCCGAGCGUUAUCCGGAUUUAUUGGGUUUAAAGGGAGCGUAGGUGGAUUGUUAAGUCAGUUGUGAAAGUUUGCGGCUCAACCGUAAAAUUGCAGUUGAAACUGGCAGUCUUGAGUACAGUAGAGGUGGGCGGAAUUCGUGGUGUAGCGGUGAAAUGCUUAGAUAUCACGAAGAACUCCGAUUGCGAAGGCAGUUCACUGGACUGCAACUGACACUGAGGCUCGAAAGUGUGGGUAUCAAACAGGAUUAGAUACCCUUGUAGUC
rnacentral:rRNA from 1 species